rnacentral:lncRNA from 13 species
CUGACACACAGACUUAGAUUGACAGACAGAGAGGGGGGGGGGGGGGGAUCACCACCAUAGAAAUAGAAUUACUAGAAUGGACAUUCCCAUUAAAGUCAAUGUUCUGUUAUGGGUGGCCCAGCGGCUCAACCCUAGACUGGAGCCUAUCGCUUGAGGACUCAACACCUCCAAUUCUUUCUGAUAUCAUCAUAAUGGCAGCACACACCUUGCGCAAUAGUGCAAAGGCUCACAUGAGUCUGAUGACAAUAUUGAAUGGUCUUUGACACUCCUUGGCCCCAAAAGCACAUGGACACUGUCCCCUUUUUUGAUACACUUACCAACUAUGGCAACAAACAUAGGUUGAGUAACACAUACCAAAUGGCACUCAUCCAUACUCCCCAUUGGACCCCAAGCCUCUGCCUAUGCUACACAAUGAGGGUGGAAAGUAAUAAUGAUCACCCGGCCAAUGGAAAAUACUGAUGAGCAGAACAAAUCUCAGACAGAUUAUAAAUACAUUGUAAAAUAUAUACACAGCAACAACGAUAAAGAAAAGAAUAUGAAAAGGAAAAGCUACAACAUUACACAACUCCUCAAAUACAGCCCCUCUGGGCCAGUGCA